GUUCCGCUGAAGCUGAGCGGCCGGUACUGUAGCGCAUCGAAAAAAGAAAAAAAAAACUCUUUAACCACCGGCCUGAAAUGGACCGGCCGUUCUGGAUUGCUCCCGGUAUUUCCAAUGUCCAGUCCGCUCCCACCUAAACUCUGCAGGACACCGGCCCUCCAGGACCGAAGUUGCCCAUCCCUGAUUUAGGGGGACAUUUAGCAAAUAUUACAGCACAAACUGAACCGUGUUUUUGGAUGAUGCAGUUCAAGCAGAAGGUCAUCUCUUUCACUGUAAAUGGAGAUUUGCUUUGGGGACUUUGGAGGAGCACAGAAAUAGGCCUACAUGAAAAUUUAUUCAGACGAAGAGCAUUUUAUAACAAAAAAAGUUCAAUAUCCAGUCUGAGGUAAGACCAAGGAUCAUCAUAUUCUGCUGUUAUUAUGUGAAAACCAACAUGGCUUUUUGUCAAACUUGUUUGUAUGAACUGAAGCAUCCCAUAAACUGUGUUUAUAAAUAUCUGUACUUUUGUAAUACAUUGGGAUUGUGCUUUUUAGUUGUCUCGGAUGUUAAUAUAUGUCAAUUUAAUUAAAGGAACAGUAUGUAGGAUUGUGGCCAAAACUGGUAUUGCAAUCACAAAACGUGUGGCUAAAACUGGUACUGCAAUCACACAGCUGGUGGCCAAUGCACAACAUGACAACAUAAACAUCAGUUGAGGGCUGCAACUCCACUUUUUAAAUGAUAAUAUCCUGGCUAGACCAAUGUUGUCAGUGAUAUAAGUAUUUGAAAUGAAAAUUAUUUCUUAUUGUCUAGUGACAUUUCAGGGCCAUUUAAUGAUUAAUUUAUAUACAUUUCUUACAUACUGUUCCUUUAACACUUAAAUACA